rnacentral:rRNA from 1 species
GAUGAACGCUGGCGGUAUGCUUAACACAUGCAAGUCGAACGGUCACUUCGGUGAUAGUGGCGGACGGGUGAGUAACGCGUGAGAAUCUGUCUUCAGGUCGGGGACAACAGUUAGAAAUGACUGCUAAUACCGGAUGUGCCUUUGGGUGAAAGAUUUAUUGCCUGAAAAAGAGCUCGCGUCAGAUUAGCUAGUAGGUGGUGUAAGAGACUACCUAGGCUCCGAUCUGUAGCUGGUCUGAGAGGACGAUCAGCCACACUGGAACUGAGACACGGUCUAGACUCCUACGGGAGGCAGCAGUGGGGAAUUUUCCGCAAUGGGCGAAAGCCUGACGGAGCAAUACCGCGUGAGGGACGAAGGCUUUUGGGUCGUAAACCUCUUUUCUCAAGGAAGAUGAUGACGGUACUUGAGGAAUAAGCAUCGGCUGACUCUGUG